ensembl:lncRNA
AGACAGGACACUGACUACAAGACAGGAGAGACAGGACACUGACUACAAGACAGGAGAGACGGGACACUGACUACAAGACAGGAGAGACAGGACACUGACUACAAGACAGGGGAGACAGGACACUGACUACAAGACAGGAGAGACGGGACACUGACUACAAGACAGGAGAGACAGGACACUGACUACAAGACAGGGGAGACAGGACACUGACUACAAGACAGGAGAGACGGGACACUGACUACAAGACAGGAGAGACAGGACACUGACUACAAGACAGGAGAGAUGGGACACUGACUACAAGACAGGAGAGACAGGACACUGACUACAAGACAGGAGACUGACUACAAGACAGGAGAGACUGGAGACUGACUACAAGACAGGAGAGACAGGACACUGACUACAAGACAGGAGAGACAGGACACUGACUACAAGACAGGAGAGACAGGACACUGACUACAAGACAGGAGACUGACUACAAGACAGGAGACUGACUACAAGACAGGAGACUGACUACAAGACAGGAGACCGACUACAAGACAGGAGAGACAGGAGACUGACUACAAGACAGGAGACUGACAACAAGACAGGAGAGACUGGAGACUGACUACAAGACAGGAGAGACGGGACACUGACUACAAGACAGGAGACUGACAACAAGACAGGAGAGACAGGAGACUGACUACAAGCUCUCAAACAGGGGAGAGUCUUUUUAAUAUUUGUUUUUCAAUAUAGGGGUAGAACAUCUCUAUUUAUUUUUCCGGUAUUAGUUCUUCUUGGAUACCUGGGUUAUUGGAUUGUGCCUGACAGGUUUCACAUCUCGUUAUAUUCAUGUUGUGUGUGAUGGCGUGUGGCAUGUGAUCGUAGCAUUUCUACACAUGCAGACAGACAGACAGGCAGACAAGGAGAUAAACACACACACAACCCACUUCUGUAACAGCCAUCAGAGCUAGGUAGAGAGCUGUCACCUCUGUCUGUCUGAGAUGUGGUUGAGAUCUCUCUCUGUCUCUCUCUCUCUCUGUCUCUCUGUCUCUCCCUCUCUGUCUCUCUCUCUCUCUGUCUCACUCUCUCUCUCUCUCUCUGUCUCUCUCUCUCUCUCUCUGUCUCUCUCUGUCUCUCUCUCUCUCUGUCUCUCACUCUCUCUCUCUCUCUCUCUCUCUCUGUCUCUCUCUCUCUCUCUCUCUCUCUCUGUCUCUCUCUCUCUUUCUCUCUCCCUCCCUUCCCACUCUUUCCCUCCCUCUCUCACUCCCUGCCCCCUCUCUCCUUCUCACUCUCCCUUCCCUCCCCUCUCUCCCCACUUUUUCCCUCUCCCUCCCUCCCUCUCUCCCUCCCUCCCAUCUCUCCUCUCUAGAGACGUGUUUUUUGUCUGCGUUGGGUUGUUCGUCUGGCUGUGUGUACUGUGAAAACAUCAAAACAAAACAGAUUGCGUUCUUCUUUUGUGGCGGUAUUUAUUUAGCGCAGGCGCUGUGCGGUCACCCCACGGUCCUGUUGCUAAGCAACCGGCCUACUCUCUCUCUCUGAGCCGAGCAGCCGAGCUUCUCUUCAUUUCCUGUUCACUGGUAGCUGUUGCACACACACAGCACACACACACACACACACACACACCACACACACCGCUCCCCGACGGCUGAAAGGAGAAGUAGAUCAUUGUCAGCCAGUCAGUCAGUCAGUCAGUUAGUCAGUUAGUCAGGCAGUUAAGGGAGUAACAACAUGACAUCAUCCUCUGUCCGUGUUAUUAGCAAUUCUAUAUAAAUGGAUCAAAAAGACGUAUAGCAACAGGAUUAGCUGGGCAUUGAAUGUAUUCAAGCACCACAAGUGACUUCAUUUGAAAUAGAAACUAACAGCCGUUUGUCGGCCAUCUUGGAUCCCGAGGAUUUUUUUUGUCCUUUUCUUUUCUUUUUGUGUUUUUUGCUUUAAAAAAGUUUGAAGUUCUUCCCACAUUGGUCUGAAAUGAAAUGUUAUUUUGACAGUUAUCUUUACCUUCAACUCAAUUCAUACUAUCUCUGUUGUCUCCUCUGUUGCUUUGGUCCGGUAGACCUACAUACAACGAGCUGUUGAUGAAUCUGAGCUCUGUUUUGUCGGUUCCAGGUGUUAUGAACAUGAAGUGUUUGACUGUGAAGAGAGAUACAUACCUCCAACCCUAACGAGAUGGAGAGGUUUCAAAAAGGAGGUUGUGGUCGUGGCUUGUACAAUGACACUAUUACCAGUGCCCCCCCCCAACGGUGAGUGUUGGGCGGAGAAAGAGGUAGGUUUGACCCCAGGCUUCUCUCAAGGUCAAGGUGACGAGAACAGGAGAAUUCUGUCAUGUCAACAAACCAGCCAAAAAACCUUCUACUAGUCUUAACUAACCCCGUGUUUAGUUCACUGCCUCGCCAUAGCAACCACACAAAUGUUGUUGAUUAUAUUCUGUCAAAUAUACACAUAGUUUUAGUGUAUCUAACUAAGUGAGUUGGAAGUUGACCUCUCUCCAAAGCACCGCUACGGUUGGUAAAACGCCCAAGAAAUUGUUUCGAUAAAUGUUUAGUUUAUAUUUUAUUUUAAUAUUUUGGUAAUGUAGGUUGUCCUCUGUGGUUCUGUAGUGUUGUGAGAAAGACCGGCUCAGUCAGAGUGUCCCUGAAAGAGAGAUCUAGGAUCAGUUCCUCAAACCCUCCACCCUUCACUGUUGGGCGAGGACAAACACAAAACUGAUCUUAGGUCAGUGUCUAAAGGGGGCGUAACUUCGUCCUACUCAGAGGAGGCUGCUUGUCGAGUGUGAAGGGUUGAGCAUUAAACACUUCCUGGUCAGUGUUAUGGGAUCCUGAAGGUCACGUAAAGGUCGCGACCCUUGACUUUUGGUCCUCUUUGUCAAAGUGAAGGAUUUCCCUUCCAACAACAGAAAAGAAGCUUCCUCCAAAUAUCGUUGUCUGUGUCCCCAAUGGCCCCUUAUUCCCUAUGAGCCCUGGGCGAAAGUAGUGCACUCGAUAGGGAAUAGGGUGCUAUUUGUGGUGCGGACAUUAUUUCCCGGGGACCAAGUCAAACGUAAUUUUUUGAUUUAUUGUCAUUAACUGUAACUUUGUCUUCUUUUCAACGUUCGUGUUGAGUUGUUCAUUGGUUCCGGUGCUGAUGUGACGACGACGGAGGGAAAAUACAUCCACUAAAUAACGGCUCUUUGUAAAUAUGUUUUUACAUCAGAUAAUUACCGGCUCUACUCUGUAAAGAAAUGACCGUUUGUUUGUUUUUUAUUAAAAAUAGAGGAGUAUUUUUAUUUCGGUAAUUGUUUUCCACUCUUAACCCAUCAGAGCCGUUGCACUUCUGACGAUGUCUUACUGCUCAUUUCUAUUGUAAACUUCUUCUGCUGUUGAUUUUGAAGUUAAUUUUUUUCUAGUUUGAGAUUUUGACUCUGUACCUAAAAAGCAGUGAUUUAUUUCUUUUUAUCCUGUACAGAAUUCUGAAAAUGUUAACAAACAAGACAAUUACAACAAAAACAAACACUUGUUUUUCUAAAAAAAAAUAUACGAAUAAAGAGAGAAUGUUCUCGCUGAUCAUAUGAAA